UUCUUCAGGUGUGUUUGGUGUUACAGUACAGUGUGGGAGGAAACUCUGAUCUUAUUGAAAUAAUGGAUGAUGAUGUGAUUCAGUGGAGGUUUGGAAACACUUUAAUAGCUGAAAUCAAUAAACGGGUCGACAGAAUCACUGUAUAUGAUGAUGUUCUUGAUGGGAGAUUCAGAGACAGACUGAAGCUGGACAAACAAACUGGAUCUCUGACCAUCACAGACAUCACAACUGAACAUGCUGGAGAUUAUAAACUGCAGAUCAACAGUGUGAAGAAGAGUUUUAUUCUCCUUGUCUUUGGUGAUUUUUAAUAUUUGUUUCACUUGUUUUAUUUUUUAUCAGCAGUUAAAAUUUUAACCCACAAAAACUUUUUUUUUUUCUGUUGUUUUAUAAGAAUAAAUUUCAGAGAAUUUACUUUCAUAAAAAUCUUAAAGUUAUUUAUAAAUAUUAAUCUGUGCACUGUUUCGUUUUUUUUUUUUUUUUUUUUUUUUUUUUUUUGUGGUGAUACAGUUAAAAUAUCACUGAAGGAGGGAGAUUCAGUCACUUUAAACUCUGAUCUUAAUGAAAUGAAGGAUGUUGAUGUGAUUCAGUGGAGGUUUGGAAACACUUUAAUAGCUGAAAUCAAUGUAACGGCCGACAGAUUCACUUUAUAUGAUGAUGUUCUUGAUGGGAGAUUCAGAGACAGACUGAAGCUGGACAAUCAAACUGGAUCUCUGACCAUCACAAACAUCACAACUGAACAUACUGGAGAUUAUGUGCUACUGAUAACGAGAGCAAAACCUUUAUUAAAAACUUUCAGAGCUUCUGUCUAUGACUCCGUCCACUGUUGUGGUCCUGCUGAAGCUGUGAUCCGAUUGGUCCUCUCUGCUCUGGUGGGCGUGGCUACUGUCAUUCUUCUGGUUUCAGAUCCAGAAGAGCUGAACAACAUCAAGCACAUAUUCACACAUCAUGUACCUCAUUGAUGGUGUCAUUUCUCACAAACUGACUUGAAAUAUAUAACUUAUGAGAUUUACUUAUUUGUGGCUUUAUGUGUUCAUCUUUUUCAGGAAGUAUUGAAAUCUAAAGCAAAACGCUGAACUUUAAAGGUUCUUGAAAUGUUAUUUGUUCUUCUAGUGUUUUUUCAUAAUAAAUACUGAUGAUUGUUUAAGCUUGUGCUCUCUCUUUCAGUGAUGUAUUUUUAAAAAUCCAUUUCAAAAGGCUUUAUUGUUUAUAUUUAAACUCUAACACAGAUCUCGCUUCACUACUCUGUUGUCUAUAUGUAUUUGCUUGUCUUUAUCAAUAAAGCUUUCUCAGAG